CGGGGUGAGUAACGCGUGGAUAACCUGCCUCACACUGGGGGAUAACAGUUAGAAAUGACUGCUAAUACCGCAUAAGCGCACAGUACCGCAUGGUACGGUGUGAAAAACUCCGGUGGUGUGAGAUGGAUCCGCGUCUGAUUAGCCAGUUGGCGGGUAACGGCCCACCAAAGCGACGAUCAGUAGCCGACCUGAGAGGGUGACCGGCCACAUUGGGACUGAGACACGGCCCAA
rnacentral:rRNA from 1 species